rnacentral:tRNA from 1 species
GCGUGGGGGUGGCGCGGGUGGGGCGCCGGGCGGCCGCUGGUGGCGCCCGCGACGGCGCAGAGCUGCGGCCGGCCGGCACGUCGGGGCAGGGCUGCGGCAGGCGGCGGAGGCGGUGGCGAGAGGGCGAGGAGGCGCUGGUGCGGAGCCUGGGCCGGCGUCCGGGGGCGGCCCGGGCUGUGCAGCGUUGGUGGUAUAGUGGUGAGCAUAGCUGCCUUCCAAGCAGUUGACCCGGGUUCGAUUCCCGGCCAACGCAGCUGGCCAACGUUUUGCGCGGCUCCAGGGCCCCGGUGCUCAGGCCCGAUGGGAGCCGGGAGCCGGGCGCGACGCUGAGUGCGUGUGUGUGUGUGUGUGUGUGUGAGAGAGAGAGAGAGAGAGAGAGGAGGAGGAGGAGGAGGCGCGCAGCGUUUUGACGGCGCGGCGGGCGGGCGGUCCGGCCAGGUGGCUCGGCGGGGCCGGCGGGCGGCUGCGCGUGGCCCGGCGGGGGCCCUGGAGGCCAAGCAGAGGCGAGUGGGCGGUAGGGAGGGAGGCGCCGGGUCCAGGGCGCACGGGCCAGGCGCGCAGCCUGACGCUCCCUGGUGGUCUAGUGGUUAGGAUUCGGCGCUCUCACCGCCGCGGCCCGGGUUCGAUUCCCGGUCAGGGAAGCCUUUCUUCUUCCUCUCGCAAGACCGCCGCCGCACACCCCUUUUAGCCCAAGCUCGCUCGUGCGUCUCCCUGGCCCCGAGCUGACCGAGGCUGCGCGUGCGCACGAGGCCACCCGCCCCGUCGAGCCCAAGGCUGGCUUGCCUGGCGGGCUCCGUCGGGCCGGCCCAAGCCUUUUGGCCUCGCUGGCUGGCUGGCCGGCAGGUGGGCCGACUGGAGGUCUCGGCGUCUCGCGGCCGCCUCCCCCGGACGCUCGCCUGGCUCCCCGUCUCGCUCCGCCCCAGGCCCGACAGUCCGGGACGCCGUCCGACCCCAGCCGAGGCCACCGACAGGCCGGGCGCCUCGGGCCUCCGUGGGUGCUUGGACUCUCCCGCAGCACCCCUGCCGCCGGGAGAAAGGUCGUGGCGGCUCGCAGCGCCCCCACCCCCGGCCCCCCGCUGGCUCCUUGGUGAGGUGCUACUUGGCGGCGGCCGCGCUGGGGGCAUGUGGGGGCGGCGGCCGAGGCAGAGGGGGCCGGGUGUGGGGAGGGUGAGCCACCUGUCUCUCUCUGAGUCGGGGGUCACUUGCUGGAGCCCCCGGUGCCUUCUCUCGGCCGUCGGCCCGGCAACCGCCAGCGAUGGCGGCGCACGUGGGUGGUGGUCUUGGGCUUGGGCGGGGAUGGGAGCAGAGCGCCGGCCCCCGCCCCCGCCCGGGCAGGCGGUGGUUGGAAAGCGGUUGUGGGCGUGUCCCGGUGGCCGGACCACCAGGCAGUGGAGGCCAGAGAGCAGGGAGAUAGAUGCAGGAGGCCAGUGGGGCUAACCCGCGGGCCGGGCAGGUGGGAGGGGGCGGAGGCACCCGGGGGACAGACGGGGUGCCCUUGGAGGCCCCGGGUCAGUCCAACUGCACGACCGCUACCCCGAAUCCUGGGGCAGAGGGGCAGGCGUGUUCCCCGACACAGCUUCCUCCACCCCACGCCCCCGGCCCGGCCCCGGCCCCAGCCCCACGUGGCCGGCGCCCCAGCUGGAUGCCGCUCGGAAGGCGUUCCCCUUGGCGCCUUAGCGCCCACCUAGGCAGGAGAGCCUGCAGCCCUGUCUCCGCCCGGGUGCGGGUCUCCUGGCGCCGCUGCUCCUGCAGGUGAACCGCAGCGCCCGGCCUCCUUCCUGCCAACGCUUGCACGCCGGCCCUCCAAGGCUUUGCUGUGUGUCCAGAGACCGUCUGUCUCCGUCGGAGGCGCAGAGGCCGGCCCGCGCUCUGCGUGAGCCUUCCGCGGCUCGCUGGCUGGAUUGGGCCACGGUCGGGCGGCGGUGGAGAGGAGCGCCCGUGGGCCUCCGGGUGCUUCCCGUCAGCACGGGCAGUUCCCUCAGCGCCCUCGCCUCUCCCUCUGGCUGUAUGGGUGGGGGUGGGGGUGCGGGGAGUCCGCGACGGUGGGGGAUAGCGCGGGACGAGGGUGUUCUCCCCGGCGCGUCGCCUCCCACGGGGGUCAGGGCACAGGCGCAAAGCGUCCCGGAAAGAGGGGAGGGCCAGGAGCGGACCGAGCCGGGCAGUGGGAGAAGGAGAGUACCGGGUGUGUGCGUGGAGUGAGGGCCCGGGACGUGUGGCGCCGGCGGGCACUGGCCGAGAGUGGGGCUGGCCACUGAGGCAGGGUGUCUGCGGGGGCUCGGGUGCGGCAGGGCACCCUGCCCGGCGCCUCUCCUGCACCUGUGCACCUGUGCGGGCGGGCGAGCUGUGAGGUAGGGGACGGGACACGCUGGGCGUGUGCCUGAGGAGCCUGUGGGAGACCGGGACUGCCGGCCUUGAGUGUAGGACGUGGGUGUGGGGUCCAAGGGGUCGGUGGUAGAUGGAGGGUUUGAGCCUGGAGGCUGGAAGGAGCGGCACGUGGCACGUGGGGGUGGGUGGCGGUGGGGAGUGGGUCCCGGUGCCAGAGGGCUGGGAGACCCCGUGGUGGCGGUGGACGGCGGCGGGAGAGGUGCCGGGAGGCCGCUGGGCUGCGCUGGGCUGCGCUGCAGGGUGGCCGGGCAGACGAGAGCGGGUGAGCGAGCGAGCGAGCGAGCGAGCGAGGUGCAGGGGGCGGGGGGUGGCAAGCAGGCAGCUGCGCGGCGGCCCGGCGAGGCA